rnacentral:lncRNA from 1 species
UCAAGCCUUUGCGGGCACUGGGAAAGUGUCUUCCCAAUCAAUCUGGCUUGCAGACGGCAGGACCAACUCUGACCUGGCUUAUCUUGUACCCAUCCUAAAUACACCAAACUCAAGAGGUAGCCAGGGCUGCCUCAACACCGAGGCAGGUCUGAUUCUAUUUAUUCUAAAGACAGAGUUGGAGAUGGGCUACCAUUGGUGUUGAUUGAGAUGACAAGCAGUCACCUGAGCCCAUACAGCUGGUAAGUAGAACAGUACUGGAGAGAUGGCUCAGCAGUUAAGAGCACUGACUGCUCUUCCAGAGAUCCUGAGUUCAAUUCCCAGCAACCACAUGGUGGCUCACAAACAUCUGUAAUGAGAU